rnacentral:rRNA from 1 species
AACGAACGCUGGCGGCAGGCUGAACACAUGCAAGUCGAGCGCCCCGCAAGGGGAGCGGCAGACGGGUGAGUAACGCGUGGGAAUCUAACCAUCUCUACGGAAUAACGCACGGAAACGUGUGCUAAUACCGUACACGUCCUUCGGGAGAAAGAUUUAUCGGAGAUGGGUGAGCCCGCGUGGGAUUAGCUAGUUGGUGGGGUAAAGGCCUACUAAGGCGACGAUCCAUAGCUGGUCUGAGAGGAUGAUCAGCAACACUGGGACUGAGACACGGCCCCGACUCCUGCGGGAGGCAGCAGUGGGGAAUAUUGGACAAUGGGCGCAAGCCUGAUCCAGCCAUGCCGCGUGAGUGCUGAAGGCCCUGGGGUUGUAAAGCGCUUUCGCCGGUGAAGAUAAUGACGGUAACCGGAGAAGAAGCCCCGGCUAACUUCGUGCCAGCCGCCGCCGUAAAAC